rnacentral:rRNA from 1 species
GACGAACGCUGGCGGCGUGCUUAACACAUGCAAGUCGAACGAUGAAGCCGGAGCUUGCUCUGGUGAAUUGGUGGCGAACGGGUGAGUAACACGUGAGUAACCUGCCCUUGACUCUGGGAUAACUGCUAGAAAUGGUAGCUAAUACCGGAUACGACCCUCGGCGGCAUCGCCAGGGGGUGGAAAGAAUUUCGGUCAAGGAUGGACUCGCGGCCUAUCAGCUAGUUGGUGAGGGAACGGCUCACCAAGGCGACGACGGGUAGCCGGCCUGAGAGGGUGACCGGCCACACUGGGACUGAGACACGGCCCAGACUCCUACGGGAGGCAGCAGUGGGGAAUAUUGCACAAUGGGCGCAAGCCUGAUGCAGCAACGCCGCGUGAGGGAUGACGGCCUUCGGGUUGUAAACCUCUUUUAGUAGGGAAGAAGCGAAAGUGACGGUACCUGCAGAAAAAGCACCGGCUAACUACGUGCCAGCAGCCGCCGUAA